rnacentral:rRNA from 1 species
UACGAAGGGGGCAAGCGUUGUUCGGAAUUACUGGGCGUAAAGGGCGCGUAGGCGGCUUAUCAGGUCAGGCGUGAAAUUCCCGGGCUCAACCUGGGGGCUGCGCUUGAUACUGAUGAGCUUGAAUGCGGGAGAGGAUAGUGGAAUUCCCAGUGUAGAGAUGAAAUUCGUAGAUAUUGGGAAGAACACCGGUGGCGAAGGCGGCUAUCUGGCCCGUAAUUGACGCUGAGGCGCGAA